AUGCCCUCAACCUCAGCAGUGCCAACGCCCCCAAGGGGACAAUCACUUUACAGAGGAGGACCCGAGGCACAAGGAACUUGCCCAGCUCAAUCUGAGCUGCACCUGAGCCUGGAGCUGACAGAGGCAUCAGGAGAGACAGCUAGGACUUGGGAUGGUUGGGACCCUGCCUCUGGCAUCCUCAGGCCCCACAGGUGGCCUCGGGGAGCACAGGUCUCCAGCUCCACUCUGGCUGGUGCACAGACCACGACUCAAGGGCUCAGGAACGCCUUGGCCUUGCCUGCGCUCCAGAUCCAGUCACUUGGACCUCCUGCUCCUGCUCUGGCCUUGUUCCCGCGGUUACUCUCUUUGCUCCACGCCAGCUCCUCCAGGAAGCCUUCCCUGAAGGAUCCGGGCCUGCGGGAGCCUCUUUGCUGUAGGAAGAUCCCACCUCUGGGUUCUUUCAGGCCUGACCACCUGUCAGGCAGCACCUGGCAGCCAGGAGCACACAGCAGCCAGCCCCUUCCAGGGGGCAGAGUCACAGCCAUCCCCAUGUCACAGGGGACCAAGGCCCAGCAAGCAGGGCCUUCCUCGCUGUUGAGCCCCAGCUCCACACCCCAGAUCCCACUGCCAGCCGUGCCCUGUCACAUCCUCUUCAGCCCUUGUGACACUGUGUCCACAGUUCCUGAGAUGCUUCCAGGUCCUCCUCAGUGCAUGGCUGUCAUAAGACAGAGUGAGGACAGGAGGGGAGUGCGGAGCUCCCGGGUAAGGAGACCCCACGUCCCAUGGGCACGGCUGGUGUUCUUCCCGACAUGGCCCACUGGGCAGCCUGCUUGGCCCUCACCCUAGCUGAGUGCCAUCUGGGCAGGACGCAGGCCCUGUGGUCGUCGUUGAGGGGAGGGAAGGGGUGGAGCUCGGAGUUGACUCCCGUGGCUGAACUGGGACUGAACGGAACCACUUGGAAAUGAGGUGCCAGCUCCUGGGAGAGGCGAGUGGCUGCUGCCCCCAGAGGCCAUGGUGGGUACUGCACCCAGGUGUGUGGUCCCCGGGGAGCCUGGAGGCACUUGUCCGAGGCCAGGCGGUGGGGACACUGGUGACUCUGAUCUUGGCUGCCCGACAAGAGGACUGGUGCAUCUCUAACCCACUGCAGAAAUCGGGCUUGUCAGCCAAGGUGUACACUGCUAGUGGAAAUACCCAGAAACGGUGGAAUAAAGAUGUUCCAGGACUACGGUUGAAGUUUGAUCAUCAACAAACCCAGACUACAAGAAACAUCCAGGGCAGAAACGUCCUGGCUAAAAGGAAAUCAUAGCAGGUGCCAACUUCGCUCUACAAGAGCAAGGGCAGGGCCCCGGGAAUCCCAAGUAUGUGGGUGUCUAGGCGAGGUGCUUUCCUGGGCUGUAACUUUUUCUUCGAAAGAUAUUGUUUAAAGGAACAUGUAUUACAAUAAAAGCACAAAAUGCGGGCAGAGAC
rnacentral:lncRNA from 1 species